CGUUAUGUAAAGAAGAGAAGAGUAGCAGUGAUCAUUCCUUAUAGAGAGCCGGGUUGAUGGAAACCGGCAGGAGAGAUUACGGUGAAGAUGAGCUCUGAACAUUGACGCGUGUUCACGCACAAGUUACGGCAGGAUCCGUUACCAUCCCAGACAUUAAUCAGUGUCGUUGAGGUAAUUCAUGUAAGUGGAUUACGAAUUUGGGUGGUAACGCGAAGCUUUCGUCCCUUAG
rnacentral:ncRNA from 1 species